GGCUGUCAGUCAAAGGUGUUCUCUUUUCACUGGAGUUAGUAGAAUAUGUGUCUGGAGUCACUGAUGCCAUUGUUGCCACCAAAACGGGAAAGCCUGACUGAGGAUGAAGCCCAUGGAGACUAAAGUAGAGCCAAUAAAGAACAGAUUCCUGACAUCAUUUCUGCACUUGGAUACAGCUGUACCUAAAGCCAGAUCCUUUUACCUUUCAGUUACCUAAGCCAAUAAAUUAGUCCUGACUAAUGCACAUGUCAUGACUUAGAUUAUCCGGAACCUUCUCAGUUUAUUCUUUUACCCCCUCCUGCUAAAAAUGAUUAUUUAUUACUAAAAUAAAAAGAAUAAAAAACAGGGAAGGAGGAGGAAGAAGAGGAAAGCAAUCAACAAUUUUGCUUUCAUCUAGGCCUGCAGACUGACCACAUAGGACAGAACUCUUGAGGAUUUGGGAAUUAAAAAAAAGUUUAUCAGACUUCUGAUCCCAAUAAGUUAAAAAAUGACCUAACUUAGAAGACAGACGUUUAAGCAUGCGAUGUAUAUAAAACCCAGAACUUUAAAAAAUCUAAAUGAGAAAAGUAUAAGGGUGAGUUCUUACAUUGUUUCUAAAAUGACCAGGGAGUAAAUUUCAGUAUAUUUCUUGUGUAAAGUUGAAACUCUUAAGGGAAAUGAUAGAAAUUUACUAAUCAAAAUACCUGAGACUCAAAAACCUUACAGGAACCAAAAGGCUGUGAUGAUGAAAAAUGACACAAUAACUUUCACAUUUCAUUUCAGCAAAAUUCUCUGCUGCUGAAAGAGAAUGCAUUUCACAAAAUUCCCUUCCAUUCCCAUGAAUCUGGCAUGUCCAUCAUGGCCAGUCUAAACACUGGAUCCAGUGGAAAAUCCUCUCCAGCCAGAAGUAGUCGCUUUCUCUAAAAAUUUCACAGUGCUUUCUCUCCUUCUCUCUUUUGUGUUUUUACUCCACAUUGUGUUUUAUGUAUGUCAGUGUACUUGUGUUAUAUCCUUCACUGGAUGGCAAAUCAUUUGAAGACAGAGUUCAGAAUUAAAAGCACUUAGUGCAAUGUUUCCCACAUAAUAGCUGCUCAAUACAUCCUUGUUUGUGAUGCAUUCCUUCUGAAAUUUAUAAUGUUUUCUACUAGAAAGGACUGAUGGUACUACGUAUAUGAUGCAUAAAUACCCAGACACAAACGGAAAGAUUCAGAUAGACAUUUAACUGUUUUACUGACACAACAUUUGGAUAUCUGAAGACAUCUACUAAAUUUUUCAGUUUUCAUCCAGAUGUUUGGUGUCAUGGACACCCAGAUUUCAGAUUUAAAUUAGUUGGGCUUUUGUUUUUGUUUUUUUUUUUUUUAAUGCCAUGUGCAUAUCUGGGAUGAAGAAAACAUGGCUAUUUCAGGAGAUUCAUUUCCAUUUGAUUUCACAUAGAGGUAAAUAGAUUGAAUAAUAAUAAUAAUGUUUAAAGUCAGAAACUGUUUGAGAGAUUUUUAAUAAUAGCCAGACCCUAAGAGGUGAACCAUGGUUGAUAUUUAGAGCCAUGGUAGGACGGUCUCAUUAAAAAGACCAAAAAAAGAAAACCACUCACCGUCCUGUAGAUGAGCUAAAAGAAUACUGAAUGAGCCUGCUGGAUUAUGAUUCAGAGAUUUUAGGAACAGUUUUUAAAUUUAUUAUUAUCAAGAUACAGAUAAAAUAAAACAGUGAAGAAGGAAUUUCUUACGAAACCAAAGUUAACGACAGAAAGACAAAAUAACCUAAGAGUCUUGGGACAAAGAAGGAACAUUUUUUGCAUCUUCAAGAAAUGUUACAUACACAUAUUCUAAUGGUAUGGAGGGAGUUCAUAUGAGCAUGAAAUUACGUGAAGGUUAAAUGCCACCAACACCCAUACUACUUCUAAACUUCCAAAAAGACAUAAAAAAGUAUCAGAAAAACAUAUUAUAAGACAUUUGCAGGUAGGAGUCAGAGUUUUAAGCACAAUGAAUAUCAUCAUUUUUCUAUUGAUGGAGAUUUUAAAGCUGUGCGCAGUCUUAUUUUGAAAAUAACGGAAAUAUGUUCCUAAGGCUAGAGAAAGAUAAUUUUUAUUUAACAUUUGUUAGGACGCUCCCAUGAGCUGCUUGGCCAUGCGUAUUACACUGCCUACAUGGCUGAUGGGCAAUCUUACCAAAUGAGCCAAAGGCCACAAAUAAGGCCUUGACUCAUUUAACGAUCAUUUCACAUUUCCACACUAUGACCAAAUUAAUAUUUUAUGGGACUACUCAGUUCUAUAGCCAGACCACUUUUCCAAAAAAUUGAAUUUUGUGCUUAUUUAUUUUAUGGAUCAUUUGUUGAAAUAGAUUUCGAAACAGGUUUAGGCUAUUUAGAUUUUUCAGUGAACUGCAAAAGAAAAACAGACUCACAGUUUUAGAAACUAGAAAGGACAGGAGAGUCACCUCAUUCAAACCUUCUUAUUUUGUGUCUAACAAAACUGAGGUCAACUGAGGAGAAGGGGCCUGCCUAAACCUUGUUGUUGGCCUGGCCUCCUGCUUUUUUAAGAUGUUUCCCUAGCAAGAAGAAAUUUCAUGCUUACAUAAUGUCAAAGAACAUUUUAUUUCUAAACAUUUUUUUAAUGAUUAUUAAUUUUUGAAAGAGUGCACGCGCACACCCAUGCACACACACACAGACACACACACACACAGACACACACACACACAGACACACGUGUGCACAAGUAGGGGAGGGACAGGGACAGAGGGAGACAUAGUAUCCAAAGCAGGCCCCAGACUCUAAGCUGUCAGCACAGAGCCCAACGCAAGGCUCAAACUCAUGAACUGUGAGAUCAUGACCUGAGCCAACGUCAGAGGCGUAACAGACUGAGCCACCCAGGUGCCCCUGGGACAUCUUAUUUCUACCUAUGAAUUGUAGAUACCAAUAGCCAGAUUUUAUACUGUAAGCUACUUAACACCCAUAUUCUGUAUGUUUGCAUAUCACCCUAAAUUUCUCCAUUUGCCACACUACUGCCUUGCAAAUACUCGCUGGUCUGUCUCUCUCACUGGACUCGAUGCUCCUUGAGAGUAGAGACAAGCGACGCACAUUUUACCUCCAGAAUCUAGCUCACUGCCUAGCAUGCAAGAGGCAUCACACACUCAAUCUCUCUCUCAAAACAAAAAAACAAAAGACAAAACUAAAAAAAAACCUUUAAAAAUUAAAAAAAAGCAACUCAUUAAAAAACAAACAAAAAACUCUGCAUGUUGAAUUAGUCAAGUUUGAGGAUGCAAACAAGUAAAUUCUUUGCAACCUAAAAAUGCUAGUUUGAAAUGAGAGAGGUCGGUUGAGGUGAAAGCUGAGGAGCAAAUGAGAAGAGAGAUUUAAGGAAGGAGACACUCAAAGAGGCAAAUAAUACCAACAUUUUAUGGCCUCAAACAUGAAACAGGGAAAACCAGCUCUCAUUUAAAUGUUUUUAUUUAUUUUUGAGAGGGUGGAGGGGCAAAGCGGGGGCAGGAGAGAGAGAGAGAGAGAGAGAGAGAGAGAGAGAGAGAGAGAGAGAGAGAGAAGAUCCAAAACAAGCUCUGUGCUGUCAGCAGAGAGCCCGAUGUGGGGGCUCAAACUCAUGAACCGUGAGAUCAUGACCUGAGCCGAAGGUGGAUGCUUAACUGACUGAGCCAUCCAGGUGCCCCGGCUCUUAUAUAAAACAGCAGUAAAAUUUCUAUAUGUAGAGAACGGAGCAGAAAUUGGCAAAUUCAGAUGGUGACACUAAGAAGCUGUGGAAAAGAAAUAAGUCCAUGGGACUUUUCAUUAACAUUUAGUAUCUCACCUUGUUAAAAAGGCUAAGGGGUUGCUUUAAAACAAGGAUCUGAAGUAUUUGGCAGAGAGUUAUAUAAUGUCUAGACAACGGAGAUACUUGUAUCUAAUCUUAUGACAACAAUCCUACUUAUUAACAGGUCCAGACACAGUGCCAUAUGAGACCGAGUUAGAAGGAAAUGAAGAUUAGUGAUUAGUCCGUUACAUUUCUUUAAUAACAUGAAAAAAAGUAUGGAUAAAAAAGUGGGGUAAAGUUUACAAGCUAUGAUAAAUAAUUCCAGUAUGUUUAGUCUAAUUUUAUUUGCACGGCCUAUGCUAUAAAUAAUUUUGUCUGAUUUACCUUAAGAAUGUACUGAAAGUCCAAUUUGACAAGAGAAAGCUACCAGAGACUUAAAGAGGAAGUUGUUGUUGAAAGAAACUGAGGAUUAUCUUUUUUUCAAAAAGGUUAUUAUCUCUAGAGUAAGCAAUGGAAAUGUUUUGGAUAUUAUCUUCUUUGCUCAUCUCAAAGUAUAGGAUAAGAGCAUGGGGUUAAUGAUAAGUUAAAAAGUCAUAAAAAUAAGAAGAGAGUAGCUUUAAAGGAAUGACUUCUUGUGAUGGGCAGUAGUGGUUAAAAAGAGAACUACAGGGGCGCCUGGGUGGCUCAGUCAGUUGAGUGUCCGACUUGGGCUCAGGUCAUGAUCUCGUGGUCUGUGAGUUCAAGCCCCGCGUCAGGCUCUGUGCUGACAGCUCGAAGCCUGGAGCCUGCUUCGGAUUCUGUGUCUAUCUCUCUCUGCCCCUCCCCCGCUCAUGCUCUGUCUCUGUCAAAAAUAAAUAAACAAUAAAUAAAUAAAUAGAUAGAUAGAUAGAACCCUAAUAGUGACCAUUUCUUAUGCCACAUUAUGGAGAAGGCUUCAAUCACGGUGGCUAUGAGGAAUCAGAACUCCUUAAUCAGAGUUAAUUCUUUCAUUUUACAGUUCACCAAGAUAAACACACUAACGUGUUGAACACUGGCAUUAGAAACUUGGUUCAGGAGUUCCAAACUGGCCUCUUUUCGUAACAUAUUCAUGAGCACUGGAUACAACUAUAUACGUAGCUGUAUACUGUAAAAAAGGGAGGCAGGUGGGCUACAAAAAAAAAAAAAAAACCCAAAAAACCUUGACUUUUUUCCUGUUUAAAUAUAACCCCGUGUUCUUAAAUGUUUUGGAAUUUAUGUGAUUUUUGAGAACAUGGGAGAAAGAUCCUUAUCAGUCUGUCCAUGGAAUAUGAAAAAAUCAAAGAUAUUACCCAAGUGUUUUCCUUAGGUACCCACUGCACUAGUAAAUAAAGCAACCAACUCAUACCAUAAUAAGAAAACUCUUAACUGGGCCAUCAAAAAAGGUCAGUUAGCAGUAUUUAUUUUGGAAUUCCCCACAGUUUUAUCUUAUCAAUUUGUUUUUCCUUCCCUUUUUUAAAGCAGCCUGUUUAGUGAAAGUUAACGGAAUCAAGAUGGAGACACAACAAGACUGUAUCAAGAGGGAGACACA